UUUGCUUGCGUUUCGUUGUGUGGUAAGAAAUCAUCUGCUUUAUCUUCAUCGUGGGUUUUCUUUUGAUUCUCCGGUUAGGCUUUCCCUAAAUGAGAUUUAAUUGUUGUGGUUUUUUGUCUUAGCUGAAGGUCAGGAUCUUCAGUUGAUGAUCAUCGCUAGGUUCAAUCGUUGCUUCUGUGGCUGUGAUGAUUUGAUUAAUUUGAAGCUUAUUAUCGCUAAUUUUUUUGAUGGCGACUUUUGAGAUUUAAUCAUGGUUUUUUUUUGGCGGUAUUUUGAAGGAUUGAACGGGAAGGAUACCAGUUUUUGCACUAGAUUCGGUUUGUUUAUGUGGUAAUGUCUGCAUCAUUCCAAUUAUCGGACAAAUUUGACAUCAAUUUUCCUUCAAAAUUGGCCCUGUUUUGGUUCAAAAUUAGCCCCAUUUUGGUUCUUCUUGCUGUGCUUCUUGUAGAAUGAUGGAUUUCGGGCGGAUGCAGUGGGAAGGAACUCUCUGUUGGAUGGAUGUGAGCGUAAUCUGAAUCUGGAGUUUUUAUUUAAUCCAUAUCUGUGGCUGUUAUUGUUGUUGCGAAUGCUGUAGGCGGUGCUCUGGACUUUCGGUAGUUUUGGUGUGGUGUCUAUCGAGGAUUGAUGAGGAAGAUUGAGUUUUUACUAUUGUUGGGUUUGUUAAUUAGUAAUUUCUCGAUCGUUUUUUGUUAUCAAGAUUCGUCUUUUCUUUUUCUGGUUCUUUUGAUGUUCUCGUUGUGGCGUGGCAGAAUCCUAGUCUUCGGUGGGGCUAAAAAAGACUUUCUGGAUGCGCAUAUUAUACUACGACACCGGGAGUUUUUCCCUCGUCCCUUUUUCCGGUUUCCUUUUUUAUUUCCUGAAAAAAUUAACUGGGGAGUCAAUUAGUAACUGGCCUUAUCUGUUGUAUUGAUUUAGGGGAGCUUGGAUGCAAGAGGGUCUGGUCAUGUUACCCUGCUAUACUGGUUUGCAAGAUUCCUGAGAAUUUUUCUGUCCUUACUUGUUUUCAGCUGUUCUGUUUGACUGGGAGGUUUCUGGCUAUAGAAGCUGAUUUGCUCUGUGAGACAGAUGUCUUCGUUUUCUGAUCUCCUGCAUUACUUUGUGUUGUGCAAUAUAGGGUUUCAGUGGUUCGGAGUUGUUGUGACAACUGAGCCAGCCUUCCUCGGAUGGUAAACUGUUUUGGAGGGAGUUAUCUUCUUACAAACAAUCUUGUGCUUUUGUCACCUUUUGAUAUCUGCAGACCUUUUUUUCCCAGGACAAACACCAUUGAAAUAGCUUUCAACCUCUUCAUUCAAUUUGCCUGCACCUAUUUUGCUGCUUCUUCGUCAGUUAUCUUUGCCCAUUUGUUCUCUUUAGGCUUUUGAAUUUAUUUUGGUUCCAUGCCUUCUGUAUCUUUGGGAAUGGUUCUCAGAUGCUUAGGAUUGUAUCAAUAUGGCAAUAUGGAUGUUGUCAAGUAUUUCUUAGUUUUUAAAUUCUGGUGCUUUUGAUGUGAUCUUAGAAUGAUGGAGUUCUGUGUAUGAAAGUAAAAAGAGCUCUUCCUGGAUGGAUGGAAGCAAAAAGAGCUCUUCUUGGAUGGAUGAAGGUGAUAAAUCGGGAGUUCUCUUCUACCAAUCAAUUCUUUGUUUGUGUUCUUUGCCUAAAAAUCACUGGCGAUCGUUGGUAAUGGCUUAACUAUUGUCUUCAUUUUAGGGAAGUUUGGAUCAGAGCAUUCUCAUCAUGUUUGUUACCCUGCUAUUCGGGCUUAACAAGAUUUUGGAGGACCUCUCUUUCCCUGCUUGUUUUCUGCUGUUUUGUUGAAGUUGAUUAGGACGUUUGUGAAUUUGCUCUGCUUGUUCUCUAAUUUCCUAUAUUACUAGGGUGUUGCAACUUAUUGUUCCAGUGAAGUGAUUCGUGAUUCAAACUUGCCUUUCCAUCAUCGGAACAAGGGCUUGUAAAAUUUUUUGGAGGGAGUUAUUUUCUGACCGACGCUAGUUGUUCUUUUGUGCUUGAGGAAUUUAGGAGUUUUGACACCUUAUUUAUAAUAUAUAAUUUGUCUGUGAAUCUUUUUGGUCUGCAGCAUGUCAUGCAGAGUCAACUUUCCUGAUCCACUAUGAAUGAAUAGAACGGGUUGUAACCAAGUGCAUAUCUUUGCUAUUCAACAGUUUAUUUCGGGAAAAACUGUCUAUGAAUGCUUUCAACCUACCUAUUCAAUUCACCUAAGGUUAGCAUUUUUUUGGCUUUUGGAUUUGAUGGACUAGUUUAAUCCGGGGCUUUUCUUUGGGGAUGGUUCCGUGCUACUCAGUAUAUAACAGGAAGUAGAUUCCGUCAUCAAACAUUCUUGUAUGGGUGGGGGGUUCCUGGUAUUUUGCUUAUUCAGCUGGAUCUGAAGAAGAGUUAAGGCUAUGCAUAUUGGUUUGAUCGAAUGGUAAAUUGUUGACAGUUUUUAUUUGAGGAUUAUUCUCAUCUUUGUGCCAAGUCUUCUGAUCCAUUCCUUUACUGAGGGUGGUGACGGAGCAUGGGCUUUUGGAUGCCAUUCUUCUUAGAAUUAUGGGGUGCGAUUCUUCUUGGAAUUAUGCAAUGGAUGUGAAUGUGAUCCUUAAUUUUGCUUUCUGCUUUAUUUUUGCAUUGUUGUAGGCAGUUGUUCUGGUUUUUCAGCUGUCUCCCUAUAGAGUUGAUUGUAGAAGGACUUGACGCUAAUUACUAUGUUUUGUUGUUGGUGGUUUUUCAAGAUUUGUCUUUUCUUCUUCUGGUUUUUUUGAUGUCGUCUUUCAAGAAUAGUGGAUUUCUGGUGCGUGGAGGCUAGAAAAGCUCUCUCUUGGAUGGAUGUGAAUAAAAUUGGGAGAUUUUCUUUUCAAUAUGGUCUUUCUUUGUUCUCUUUGCCUGAAAAAAUCACGGGGGCGGUUGGUGAUGGCUUCUGUCUGUUGUCUUGAUUUUAGGGAAGCUUGUUGCAGGAGUGUUGGUGUGUUUAAUACCCAGCUAACCGGAUUUGUAACAAGAUUUUGGAUAAGCUCUCUCUUUCCCUACUCUUAUGUUUUUUGGCUGUUUCUUUAAAAAUGAUUUUCUUUACUUGUUCUCUAAUUUACUAUAUCAUUUUGUGUCAAAUCUAGGAUUUUGGUGAUUCAGAGGUGUGGCCAAAACUUAGGUCUCUGUCCUCAGAUCAAAGGCUAGUACAUUAUUAUAGAGGGGUUUAUCUUCUUACCUAUGCUUAUCAAUUUUUUUUUUUUGCUUGAGCAUUUUACAGGUUUUAGUACGUUUUGAUGUCUGCAUACUAUUAUAAAUAUAAUCUAAUUUUUUUUGUAAAUUUUUUCCUUCACAGUCCAUCAUGAUUGUAGAAAUGCCCUAUGCAUCAUUUGUUUGGUCAGUAAUUGCUUGGAAGUCGUGCAUUUCUGACCCUCAAGGAAAAGGUAUCGCUGGGAUUAUCCCAGCGAUUAAUGGUUGGACACCUUCGACCUGCCCAUUCAAUUCACAUGCACCCAUUUUGUUGCUUAUCCCAUGCCUUUUCUACCUCUGGCGAAUGGUUUUCAGGUGCUUAGGAUCUUACCAGUUUGGCGAUUUUGAUCUUCUGAAGUAUUUCUUAGUGCUCAAAUUCUGCCACUAAACAUGUUUUUUUAAGGUAGUUUCUGGUGUUUUGGUGGUUCAUCAUGAUCUGAAGUUUAUGCUUGUUAUAUGAAUGGUGUUGGUGUUAUGGUAGGUGAUCUAAAUUUGUAAAAAGUUGGUAUUAUUGGUUCAUUCCAUUGUCAGUUCUCAUCUUUGUGCCUAAUUUCAAAUUUUUGUUGGCUUUUUUGUGUUGCUUGCCGAACUCAUGGUCAAAGGGAGGUCUGUGCGAUGUGUCUCUUUGUGAAUAAAUUGGAUGGGUUUGAACAUAAUGUAAAAUCUGGAGCUUUUAUUUGGACCUGCAGGUGGUGUAUUUGUUGUUGCAAUAGGUGGUGGUGCUAGAGGUGGUGGCUCUGAGUUUCCAGAAGUUUCUCUGUGGUGUUGAUUAAGAAUUGAUCAUGAAGGCCUACACUUUCUUGCAGUUUUGCAGUAUGUUGAGUACUUUGUGAAUGGUACUCUUUUUUUUUUUUUUUUUCUAAAGAUUGUCUCUUCUUUUCUGGUUCUUUUGGUGUGGUGGUCUUAGAAUGGAGGAGUUCUGCAUGGGCAAAAAGAGCUCUCUUCUCUUGGAUGGAUGGAUGUGGAUAGCUUGGAUCAAAGCAUUCUUAUCAUGUUUGCUACCGUGGUAUUCUGGGUGAAAAAAUUUUGGAGGAGCUCUCUCUUUCCCUACUUGUUUUCUGUUGUUUUCCUUGAAAUUGAUUGAGAGAUCUCUGGAUGGUAGAUUUGCUGUCUCUUUUCUAAUUUCCUAUAUUACUAGGGCUUCGGUGAAGUUGGUUCAACUUACCUCUCCAUUUUCGGAUUGAGGGCUAGUAAACUUUUUUGGAGGGAGUUAUUUUCUCGCCUAUACUAAUUUAUCUUUUGUGCAUGAGGAAUAUAGGGGUUUUGACACUUUAUUUAUAAUUUUUCUGUUAAUCUUUACUUAUACCGUCUCCAUUAUUUGGUCUGGCAGUAAUUCCUGCAGAGUUGACUCUCUUGAUCCAUGAGAAAUAGAUUGAGGUAUAACCAAGAGUGUCUCUGCUUAUUGUCAACUUGUUUAUUUCUAAACCAUCUAUGAAUUGCCUUCUGUCCAUUCAAAUUCACCUAAGUUAUCGUACCCAAUUUUUCUUUUCUUGGCUUUCGUAUUUUGAUGGAUUAGCUUAGUCCAGGACUUUUCUUUGGGGAUGGCUCUGCAGUGCCUGGUAUCUAACGGGAAUUAAAUUCUGUCAUCUAACAUGUCUGUAUAGGUAGGGCUCUUUGGUGUCGCUGAUUCAUCAUGGUCUGAUGAAGAAUGAAUGCUACAUUUAUCAGUUCUGAUAAUAUGGUAGAUGAUCUACAAUUUUUAUUUCAUCUUUGUGCCAAGUUCAAGUCUCUGUUUGGCUAUUCAUGUUUUCACUCGCAGAAUUCUGCUGAGGGUGGUGACUGACUGGGGGCUUUUGGAUGUGUCGAUUCUUAACAAUUAUUGGAUGGAUGUGAACGUAAUCUGUAAUCUGGAGUUUUGCUUUCUGUGUCAUUGUUGCAUUGCUAUAGGCAGUUGCAUUACUGUUUGCUUCGAUCUUUGUGAUGUUUCAAGAUUUCGUUUCUUCUCUGGUUCUUUUGAUGUCGUCUUUCAAGAAUAGUGGACUUCUGGCGUGCGGAGGGUAGAAGGCUUUCUUUUGGAUGGAUGUGAAUUAAAUCGGGAGUUUUUCUUGCCAACGUGUUUGUUCUCUUUCCUGGAAAAUUCACUGGGGGUACUUGGUGAUGGUUGCUAUCUGCUGUCUUGAUUUUAGGGAAGCUUGAACCGGGAGUAUUGGCCAUGUUUGGUAUCCUGCUAUUUGGUUUUGUGAUGAGAUCUUGGAUGAGCUUUUCUUUUUCCCUACUCUUUCUUUUUCUAUUUUUUUGUUCAUUUUCUUGAAAAAUGAUUUUCUUUCUGUGUGCUUUAAUUUAUUAUAUUAUUUUGUGUUAGUGUCUAGGAUUCCCAUGACUUGGAGGUUUGGCGAAGACUUAAGGUCUCUAUUGUCAGAUCAAAGGCUAGUAUAUUGUUUUGGAGGGGGGCUGUCUUCUUACCUACUCUUCAGCGUCACGAUCUAGCCACAUGAAACCUCAGUCUGAACAGUCACCCCUAUUGGAUUUGCCUUAGAUGAGGGCUAGCAUUUGUGUGAAUGCGAAGUCAGCACAGUAAUAUGAGGCACGGAUCAAAAUAUGCGCAAUGUCAGUCCCACGCAAAAAGAUGUGGAAGAAUGCUUUGAUAGUUGCUGCAGUGAAAACCUGUUGUUUCCCGAGAUGUAGAGAAGUAUGUGAAUUUUGCUUGUAGCAUGGUGGCCUUACCAUUCCUUUCUGCUUGAGGAUGUUACGGGCUUUGGUACUUCUGAUGUCUAUAAUUUAAAUUUAAUUUAAAAUUUUGAUGAUCCCUUUCUUCUGCAGUCCACUAUGUUUAUGGAAAUACCUUAUGCAUCAAUCAUUCUGGCAGUAAUCACUUGGAAAUCCAUGUUCCUGAUCCUCAUUUAAGAGAGCAGCGAUUUGCGUAUCACUGCUUAAUCCCAACUGUUAAUUGUGCUGUGACCUGCCCAUUUAAUUCACUUGCACCUAUUUUGCUUCCCCAUUAAUGUGCGAUUAGCUUAAUCCCAGGCACUUUCUUUCUUUGGGGAUUGUUUUCUUGUAAGCUAUCUAAUUCUGCCAUUGAACAUGUAUGUAUAGCCGGUUCCUGGUGUUCAUCAUGAUCUGAAAAGAAUUAACAUUAUGCUUGGUAUAUUAAUUAGUUUUGAUGGUAUGUAUAUAAUCUAAAUUUCUGGAUGGUUGGGGACUAAUGGACAGCUCUGAUAUUGGUUUCCAUCUUGGUGUCGAGUUUUAAGUUGGGUUCUGAUGUCCUGGUACUUCCUUGCAGAACUCUAUAGUCCUAGCGAGAGGAUUGUGAAGACAGAGAGGUCUCUUGGAUGAUGAUGUUAUUCAGAUAUCCACGAUACUGUGGUUUGAAUCAUGGAAUCUCUCCAUUCCAUCCUGUUAUUGUGUUUGUCGAAAACAUCACAUGCAUUAGUCAGGCUUUAUAAUUUGUUUAAUUCUGCAGAUUGGAUUUAGAGUUUGGUCAUGGUUUGAUUCUUAAGUAACAGGUUCAAGAUAAAUGUUUUAGGCCUUAUGGAAUUGGGUAGCACGGUGGGAUGAUGUUUUUAGCUUUUGAUGGAUGAAUUCUGAAUUAGUCAUGAUGGUCGUUCAGCUAUGCUGUUUUCAGCGUUUUUACUAUUGAGUUCAUGAGUAAGUAUUCGAAAGGAUAAAGGGUGCAUAGAAAUAUUUGGUUUGUCAUGUUCUUCAGGGUCCAGUACAAGUGUGUGGAAAAUCCUGACAUCAAUUAGCGUCAUCAUCUGUCAAAACACUCUUUGUCGCUAUUUGAUGUUUUUGCUGUAGACUGACGGGGUGAAUUAUCAGAAUUCGGGGAUGCAAAGAAGAACUUUAUUGGAGGGAUGGGAAAAUUUAUGGUUCACCAUGAUCCUGAUUGAUUUUGCAUAUGCUGAAUGUGAUUGUUGCUGGGCUUAUUAUUGACUUAUCUGGUUUCCAUUUAGGGAGCUUGAAUUCAAGAAUCUCUGGUCAUUUUGUUACCUUUUGUUACCUGGUAUUGUGGUCUACAUGAUUUCAAAGGAGUUCCUCACUCGUGGUUGUGCCUGGUUUUCUUUGUACAGCACUGUUUUUUUUAAGUUAUGGCAUUCAAUUUCAGGAAGAGCUGGGAGUUGAACUGGGAUGAAUGUUUUCAAGCCUGAAUUUCUGCAUUUACUAACCCAUUCUGCUUGCAUACUACUGAUUGCCAUGAAAUCGAAACAGACAUAGAGGUUUCUUAUCCUGAUCAUUUGUAAUGGAUAUGAGUGCAAUUGCAGUGUCAUUUUGUUUGUCCAGGUUUAUUCAUGACGGUGUCGUCAAUAUACUUUGAAGUUUGCAAAUUCUGCUUCGAUAGCAUGAGAGGAGAUUUGGUGGUGUCUAGCAAAAUUUUGGAUAUUCUGUAGCAAGCAUGCUUAUUCCAGUGAAUUUGAGAUAUCUUUACCUCAACCAGUUCUUGAGUUUAAUAUCCAGAAAUUGGGAUUUCUAUUUCUGUUUCUCCUUUCAAGUCAUAUAGAUUGUUGAUGUGGCGCUUCCCAGUGUACCUGGAAUUUGAUUGACAACUUUGAUAUUAUUUGAAUGUGGAAAGAAACUUCUGAUAAUGGGGUGCGGCCUAAGAUGUAACUCAGUAUGGAUUAUGGUCAUGGUCAAGUUGGUGGUAUAUUUCUUGCUUGUAUCGUUCUUGGGCUUUUGGUGUGUUGUAACUGGCAAGUCCAUUAUUAUAGAAGAGGGUCAGAAAACCGUAGUCCUCCUCUAUCACCAUUGAAUACUUGCUGAUAGCCUUCAUUAUCUACAAUUGAAUGGAAGAAAACAUUUGGUUAUUCUCACUUUGUAAGCAGAUGCUGGUUCAGUCAGGAUGCUUGUAAUUCUGCCUGUCACAUCAGACAGCCGGUCCCAAGCCCGGCAAAAAGAGGAGGGAAAGCAUGAUCUUAUGUGAGAUAGGUCAUUACUAAAUAUUCAUUACUAUGGUUCUUCCAAGUCUUACUAAUAGAUUACAAUGUCUUGCUGUUGUGUGAUCUGGGAAAUACUUGCUGAUGUUCUCUCCUUGGAAGGAUGUAUUUUCCUCCUCUCUUCAUUUGGUGGAUUUGUGAAUGGCUGGGGCUCCAUUCAUACGUACAAUUUCUGCCUUUUUAGAGUUGGUGAUCAGUACAGAAUGUUUCAAUGGCUUUGUUUUAUCGGUCCGUUAUCUUGUUAGAUGGGUUAUUUUUGAAAGGCUUAGGCGAGGCAAGAACUUGAAGCAAUGGCUUGUGUUGUUUUCGUUGGGGGAAGUGAAAACCAUUUUUAACUCCAAAGCCUGUAUGGUGACAUAUAGUUUAGUUUCUAAUGCAAAUUACUAUUUGUUUUUAGUCGAAACAAUUUCUUCUUGGAUGGUUCUUGAAGAUCUAUGUGGAUGCGAAUGCCUUUUUAAACAUCUUAUCUUCCAUUCAUGCU